rnacentral:lncRNA from 1 species
GGCUAGCCAGGUUGAAGAGUAUGUAUUAUUAUCACGCGAAAGAAAACCAAGCACCCAAGACACUAAGUUUUAGCCAGUAUGACAUAAAAAAGAUACUCCAUCUUAAUAAAUUGGCUGUAUGUAAUACUUGGAAUUUAUUAUAUCUACUAUGAGUGAAACAUAAUUAUUUAUAUAUAAAAAGAAACAUGCCUCCUCCUCUCAAUCCAUUGAUCUACUGCUAACACAGAUGCGGCAUGAAGAUCAUAAUCAAAUUCAAUUGGCUUAGGAUGGAUCUUCACGGACAUCGAAGGUCAAGAACUCACCAGAGGCUCGAGCGCUCAAUCGCACGUCUUCU